AAACCGUGUUGUGGGCAUGAACUGACAAGAUCCUUGAACCACUUCCAACAUUAAAAGAAUAUUUUAUCUUCCUUUUGGGCGAAGUUCGUGAUCUACUUUCUAAUGGU